GCGCCGGUGGUGUAAAGGCGUAGAGCAUUCCCGCCCGGUCAGAGGGAGAUGCGGGUUCGAGUCCCGCCUGGCGCU
rnacentral:tRNA from 1 species